AUUGAACGCUGGCGGCAUGCUUUACACAUGCAAGUCGAACGGCAGCGCGGGCUUCGGCCUGGCGGCGAGUGGCGAACGGGUGAGUAAUGCAUCUGAACGUGCCCAGUAGUGGGGGAUAGCCCGGCGAAAGCCGGAUUAAUACCCCAUACGACCUGAGGGUGAAAGCGGGGGACCGAAAGGCCUCGCGCUAUUGGAGCGGCCGAUGUCGGAUUAGCUAGUUGGUGGGGUAACGGCUUUCCAAGGCGACGAUCCGUAGCUGGUCUGAGAGGACGACCAGCCAGACUGGGAGUGAGACACGGCCCAGACUCCUACGGGAGGCAGCAGUGGGGAAUUUUGGACAAUGGGGGCAAGCCGGAUCCAGCCAUGCCGCGUGCGGGAAGAAGGACUUCGGGUUGUAAACCGCUUUUGUUCGGGAAGAAAUACUCUGGGCUAAUACCCCGGGGGGAUGACGGUACCGGAAGAAUAAGCACCGGCUAACUACGUG
rnacentral:rRNA from 1 species